rnacentral:snoRNA from 3 species
AGUAUCAUGGGAUGAAACCUUGAAACAAUCUUAGGACACUUUCUGACAUAGUGCUUAUUUUUACCUGUGAAUGAGAAGGCAUUUAUAUUCUGAUGAUACG